UGAUGUCACCGUGAGUGCUGCAGGGAUAAUCACUUCAUAGCCAUUUUCAAUUUUGUGCAUGGUUUAUCUCUUUUUCUGGCUGAAAUUCAAAUUAUUAAUUGAUAUAACUUUGCAAUCUUAAACAAGAUUUUUUUAUUGGUUUUCUAAAGGAGUGACUAUAUUAACUCCUUGUGUCCAGUAACAUCAUCAGACGCCAAGAAUACAAAAGGAAUUUGCUUUUGAUGCCACUGGAAGAAAGACUCAAAAAAUGGUUUUGUGAGGGCCCCUCAAAUUAAUCGAUUUAAUGCAUGUAUGCAUCUUGCUCCCAAUGAAUCGAUAAAUGAAGUUUUAAAGGUGAUUCAGUAGUAUGCUGAUUUGGUUCAAGGAUUGUGGAUUACAAAAAAGUUCUUUGCUAUUCAAGGAGGAGCAGGCUCGUGUUAGGGACUAUUUCCUCUUUUUGCUAAGUAAGAAUCACAUAGUGCCCUCCAGUAAAAUCACUGGAACAAAAUUUGGUGAAGUUUCCUAUUUGAAAGAAAUGAUGAGUCAAUUAGCAGUUAAAGGUCCCACAAAUGAUUGGAAACUCAAAGAUGCUCCUGAUAGUUCCUUUAUUGAAAGAUUUCCAAAUAUUGUAAAGGAGCAAAGAACGUGCUUGGUCAUGUCAUGAGAUGCAUUUCUUGGAUCUUUCUGCUCCUGUUGGGAAAGACAAAGUUCUGAUGACUAAGAGUUCUCUAGAUUCUUCAGGUGGAGUAUCACGGGUUGCAAAUAGAAGUAAUGAUGUCUCAGCAAGUGCUAGAACAAAUGCCCUGUCAAUUGAAACCUGGGAAUGUCUUCCUAAAGUUGUUCAACAAAUUUUACGUAGUCAGAAGGUUUCUAGCCCAAAGGCGAUAGUUCAGGGCGUAAGGGAACUUGCUGAAAGUCCUACUUGCUAAGCCAAAAAAUGAUCGUCAAUAUAUAUAGCUGUAUCUGAUGCUGCAGUUUAUGCUGUCAAGGCAUCUUUUUCUGAACUCCAAGUGGUUUUAAAUCAAGUAGCAAUUAACAUUCAUGGGGUAUAUAUUGCAAAGUUUGUGUAAUUCUUCAAUUGAUCCAUUGAGAGAUGUCGUUAUUGAACUAUUCUGCCACAAGGAACCACAAGCAAAGUUAAAAAAACAGGAAGUAUAGCAGGCUGCUCAGAUUCGCCUCAAAAGGGAUAUCACUGAAAAUGAA